GACGAACGCUGGCGGCGUGCUUAACACAUGCAAGUCGAACGAAGUGGCGAACGGGUGAGUAAUGCGUAAUCAACCUGCCCUUCAGAGGGGGACAACAGUGGGAAACGACUGCUAAUACCGCAUACUGAAGGAGGGGAUUGCGUCUGAUUUGCUAGUUGGAGGGGUAACGGCCCACCAAGGCGAAGAUCAGUAGCCGGUCUGAGAGGAUGAACGGCCACAUUUGGACUGAGACACGGCCCAGACUCCUACGGGAGGCAGCAGUGGGGAAUCUUCCGCAAUGGACGAAAGUCUGACGGAGCAACGCCGCGUGAGUGAUGACGGCCGUCGGGUUGUAAAGCUCUGUUAAUCGGGACGCGGUACCGGAAUAGAAAGCCACGGCUAACUACGUGCCAGCCGCCGCGGUAAUUC
rnacentral:rRNA from 1 species